rnacentral:miRNA from 1 species
UUUUCUUCGCCGGCACAGCUCUG